AAAAUUGUUAUAUAUUACCCAGUCUUUCAAACCAAGCUCAGUCCUAGCAGGGCUAUCUUUUCUAUUUUUCAUGCCCUCUCAAGUUUUCCUCUCAAGUUUUCAAGGUUAAAUGUGAUAACAUGUCUAAAACCAUAUAUUCAUGAUUAACUUUGUUGUUUGGUUCUUUUACUUGAUAUUUAAACUCAAGUUCUUCUCUUUUGAUAAUCUCAAUAAUAAUGAAUGCCUCUAAAGCUGCGAAAUAUUUCUAAUUCUAUGAACAUUCACUAUUGCUAUCAACUAUCCAAUGGAGAUUUCGAAAUAGUGGAUGUCAUCAGGAAGUUGUACAUAUUGAUGUAGUUAGUUUUGAAAGUGAACUUCAAUUGCUUGAAUUCUUACUUCUUUUAUCUGAUUUUCAGGUAUUUUCUUCACUUGAUAUCCUUAUUGGCGAUAUUUAAUCUACUAAAUUUUGACUUUUGCUUGAUUUGUUAUGAUUUUUAUAGUGUGCUUCAAAUUCUAUAUGUAUGACACCGAAUUAGUUCUAUAUGUGUUUUUUGGUUGAAAUAAUAAGUUGUUGGCUAUGAAAGUUACCUAUUUUAAAGAAAUAAAAAACUUUUUUGGUUGUGUAAUUAUUUCUUCUCCAAAAGAAGUUGUCCACUCAUUUUCAGGUUUCAGAUCAAAGGUUCGGUGAACAAGUCAAUUAUAGUUCUCAUCUAAGGAGGGAUGAAUACCUAUUAAAUAUUUGCAGAACCAGUUGAUCGCGCUGAGGUUCUAUUGGUCUUAUGAUUGGCUUUGGUUUUUGAAGGCCAGGGUUUAGAUGAUUUGAUGAAUUUACAAGUCUCCGACCAAAA